UGCGCCGCGCGGCCGGCUCCGCUCCCCUCGUGGCCCUGGCCAAGGCUUGCCUGGACCCCUCGGCCCCUGACGAAGAGCGCGCGCUGGGGACGCGAAAGUUUUUAUUUUUCCCUUGGCCCUGAAAUGUGAGCCGUCUCGGGGAGCUCCGGGACCACCUUCAGUAUUAGCGGUUUCUGGGGAGAUUACGGUUUUCUGCUCGUCGUGAAAUAGGAGAUGUCAGUUGCAGGCGCUGGGCACGGAUAAGGUGGCUUUUACGGAAGGCUUUGGCAGGUACCGUUUGGAUUACAGACGCCUCCAGUUCUCAGCGUCAUAUGGAAAAGGAGCCAGAAGGAAAAACAGAUUUAAAGGAUCCGAUGGGAGCACUUCUUCUGACACUACCUCAAAUAGUUUCGUUCGCCAGGUAAGGGUGCUCUUAAAUUCAUGGUUUGGAGAAGUCUAUGAAAAUGAAUUCACUUUUGGUUUUUUUAGAGGUGGUCUUACAGCGUCAUCCCUAUGAUUUAUAUAGUAUUAUUGUACUUGCUCUUAGUUGAAGUGAAAGUUGUGCCGUUGAAUGUCCUAAUUAAUAUAUUUAAAUUUUAAGUGAGACCGUAUGUGUCAUAAUUACACUCUCCUGGCAAGUUGGGGAAAGAGAAAUGCAAACUUCAUUACAGAGGAUUUCUUCAGAACAGCAUGAAUGAACCCCAGGAGAAAUGAUUCCAGGCUUGGGGGGUUUGCGGGGGGUGGGGGUAGGGAGACAGGCAGUGGGCAUCCGUACCACCAGCUGUAAAGUUGGGAUACUGGUCUUCCUCCAGCUGGAGUUUUCUUCUUCCCACCUGGGGCUUGAAUUGUAAAAGAGAAGAUUGGCUCUUGAAACGGUCGAGGCUAGUAAGGUCAAGUAGAGCACAUGGUAUCUUGGAGGCAUAACUGAAACUGCUUUGGAGACAGAGGCUUCAUCUUAGUUAAGGUGGAUUCCUGCCCAGGAGUUUGGAACUGCCCCCUAGGCAGUGUCAGGAUCCCUGACAUGGAAACGCUCUCACCCGUGGUUACAGAAAGGACUUUCAUUCCCAGAGGAAGAGUAGAGGCAGCCAGAUCUCGGAGGGUAAUAGGUUCCAGGUGAGGCUAAAGUCUCAUCAGGUGUAG
rnacentral:lncRNA from 1 species